rnacentral:rRNA from 1 species
UACGAAGGGGGCUAGCGUUGUUCGGAAUUACUGGGCGUAAAGCGCACGUAGGCGGAUUGUUAAGUGAGGGGUGAAAUCCCAGGGCUCAACCCUGGAACUGCCUUUCAUACUGGCAAUCUUGAGUUCGAGAGAGGUGAGUGGAAUUCCGAGUGUAGAGGUGAAAUUCGUAGAUAUUCGGAGGAACACCAGUGGCGAAGGCGGCUCACUGGCUCGAUACUGACGCUGAGGUGCGAAAGCGUGGGGAGCAAACAGG